GGGGGCAUAGCUCAGUUGGGAGAGCGUCUCGAUGGCAUCGAGAAGGUCAGGGGUUCGAGUCCCCUUGCCUCCA
rnacentral:tRNA from 2 species